rnacentral:rRNA from 1 species
UAGCGUAGGGGGCUAGCGUUGACCGGAAUCAUUGGGCGUAAAGCGCGUGUAGGCGGCCCGAUAAGUCCGCUGUGAAAGUCCAGGGCUCAACCCUGGGAUGCCGGUGGAUACUGUCGGGCUCGAGUCCGGAAGAGGCGAGUGGAAUUCCUGGUGUAGCGGUGAAAUGCGCAGAUAUCAGGAGGAACACCAAUGGCGAAGGCAGCUCGCUGGGACGUGACUGACGCUGAGACGCGAAAGCGUGGGGAGCAAACAGG